UCACAUUCAGGAUGGGUCUUUCAGU
rnacentral:piRNA from 1 species